GAACACCUGGCUACUUCUUUGUUAAAGUUAGUUUACAUAGAGACUAAUAUAGUUGACUCAACGAAAUGUAUUCGCUACUGAUGGCAUUUAGUUUGAUAGUCACAAUGACUAGUGUAGUGCAGCAAGUGACGAGUGACGUCUUUACUUCCGUGACACUGAUUAAAGACAUGGUGUUAAAAGAAAGAGAGAUAGUGGACAGAAUACAAGAGUCCACGCAAAGACUAGUAUCUAAUGGAUAUAGUCAAGUGACUAGAUUUUAUCACAAAAGACUGGCAACAAUAAAUAGUCGCAACUUUUCUAGAGAAAUUGAAAGACUUAAUCAUCCCAAUGGUAUUUAUUUAAUCAUAAAAGAGUUUUUUGAAGACUAUAUUCCUUUAAGGAAAUAUUUGA
rnacentral:sRNA from 1 species